GCUAUGGAGUAUGAUACCAAACGCUAGUAGCCUGCGAGAAAUCGCGGCGAGAGCGCAUACGAGGAAAUAGCAA
ncrna:unclassified sequences RAGATH-18 RNA